GUUUAGUUGUUAUAGUUUAGGAAUGAUAUGAGGUUUCUUAUAGCUUAUAUUGACAUGAUUUGUUUUUUUUGAGAAAAUAUUGACAUGAUUUUAGGAGUUUAAAAGAAAUUGUUUUCUCAAGAUAAGCAGUAAUAUUUUCUUCCCAGUCUUCGAAACCCCUUAAUUAUAAAAUGACAUCAUUCAUUGUUAUGAAUUGAUGAAAAUAUAUAAGGGUCCUUUCUCUUAACCUAUUUAUUGUUUUUAAACCCCUUUAUCCAAAUUGAAAACAGUUUCUUUCUAAUUCUUUAUAUAUCCGUCUGCAUUUUUAAAAAUAAU
rnacentral:lncRNA from 1 species